rnacentral:rRNA from 1 species
GCGUGAACGAAGAAGGAUUUCGGUCUGUAAAGUUCUUUUCUGUGUGACGAGAGUGGACGGUAGCACAGGAAUAAGUCUCGGCUAACUACGUGCCAGCAGCCGCGGUAAGACGUAGGAGGCGAGCGUUAUCCGGAGUUACUGGGCGUAAAGCGCGUGCAGGCGGAUUAGUAAGUUACUUAUGAAAGCUCCCGGCUAAACUGGGAGAGGUUGAGUGAUACUGCUAGUCUAGAGUGGAUGAGAGGUUAACGGAAUUCCGCGUGUAGUGGUGAAAUGCGU